ACACAUUCCACUGUCCAGGAAACAGGAAAACUUGUUCAAAACCAAUUACAGUUCAAAUCUCCUGUGUGGCCCAUUCGCCCAAAAAGCAAUCCGACUUUGGGGCCAGUGGGUGCAACAAUCAGGAAGGCCAAAGCCAAAGCCGAAGCUGAAGCCAAGCAAAGGAAAGUCAUCGCCAAAACCAAUAACAAAAUAAACUCCGUGCAACACCAGACCCCAAAAACCUCAGAGCACCCCGUUCCCCCUUCGGAAUACCACAAAAGCCUGCCCCGCAAACCCCUCCGCAACCAUCAGUGGCGUUCUUAGUUCUCCGCCAUUCAUUCUCCCUGCGGACAGCCUCGAGACACUUCUGCUCCGCUGCCAUCGUCGAGGACAAAACGCUGGCGAUGAGAUUUUAAAAGCCAUUUAGAAAAACACCCUCAGACACAAAACAAAUCCACAAAAAUACCGACACGGAUACCACAGGGCCAACACACACACACACACACACACACACACACGAGAGAGAGAGAGGGAGAGAGAGAGAGUAGCACUCACUCACACCCAGAAAGUGGGAGAAUAAGCGCAAAGCUUACACAAAAGUGGCGUUAAAAAUGAUGCGGAAACACGAUGUUCGUCAGCGUCGACGGCGACGGCGAUGAAGACAGAGGAAGAGCAAGGAAGAAGGAAAAAAAGGGGCCGGAGAGACAGAGAGAGGGAGAGAAAGAGAGGCCGAGAACAGUGUCGACAAUGAGCCUUCGAGCGAAAACCGCUGCUAAAACUUCACGCUUAAAUAUUUUUCACACCACAUAGCGACAAGUUUGUACAGGCAGAAAAAAGGGAAAGAGUACAAGAGUGAGAGAGAGAGAGAGAGACAAGAGCAGAGUAGAGUGCAUGCCAGAGAAGUGAGAUGUGGAUAACAACGCGGCCAAGUCUUCAGAAUGGCACGAAACCCAACGGAAGUGCGAGGAAUACGCGGGUCGGAGAGUAGACCGAGUGACUGACUGGAGGACACAAAGAGCGACAGUGAGAAGAGUCGAGAUUGACGAGGGUGCCAAAUGCCGGAGAUUCCAAAGGAGACCGCAACGAAUGCGCUGAAAGCUCAAGCUGGAGCUGACGAGAGUGAGUGAUUUUGGUAGCAGGACCCCAGAGCCCAGACCCCAGAGCCCAGACCCCACAGCCCACAUCCCAGAGCAGGAUCUGUUACUUGGAAUGCUAUACAGCGGCAGAGGAAACAAGAAUACAUCGUAAUGAACAUGUGCGUAUGAAUGCCGGGAAGGGAAUGCAAAUUAAUGUUUCAUUCGGAUGGUAAGGAAUGCAAGGAAUGCUCAUCCACUGAACAGAAAUGAGGGGCCCUCUCUAAUGUGGCUGAGUGAAUGAUUCAUUUAGGAAAUAACUAAAUGAGAGCGAUGAUUCAAUUGAUAUGUUUGAAUGCCUGAAAGAGAUACAUGUACAUGUCCUUAGAUAGAGUGGCUA
rnacentral:sRNA from 1 species